GAGUGAACGCUGGCGGUAGGCCUAACACAUGCAAGUCGAACGGCAGCCCAGUAAGAGCUUGCUCUUACGGGUGGCGAGUGGCGGACGGGUGAGGAAUACAUCGGAAUCUACUUUUUCGUGGGGGAUAACGUAGGGAAACUUACGCUAAUACCGCAUACGACCUACGGGUGAAAGCAGGGGAUCUUCGGACCUUGCGCGAUUGAAUGAGCCGAUGUCGGAUUAGCUAGUUGGCGGGGUAAAGGCCCACCAAGGCGACGAUCCGUAGCUGGUCUGAGAGGAUGAUCAGCCACACUGGAACUGAGACACGGUCCACUCCUACGGGAGGCAGCAGUGGGGAAUAUUGGACAAUGGGCGCAAGCCUGAUCCAGCCAUACCGCGUGGGUGAAGAAGGCCUUCGGGUUGUAAAGCCCUUUUGUUGGGAAAGAAAAGCAGCAGGUUAAUACCCCGCUGUUCUGACGGUACCCAAAGAAUAAGCACCGGCUAACUUCGUG
rnacentral:rRNA from 1 species